CCUUUGGCCGUUCGGCCCUGUGAAAUUGACUUUUUAAGAACCCAGCCACAGAGGGGAUGGUCCAGGCCUUUGGCGUCGGCCUUUCAUCCGGUGCCAACGUCCAACUCUUCUUUCGAUUUCAUUUGCGGGCUAGGGAUGACCGACAGAUCGAGAGCGAGAGGGUUUAUAAGUUGUCGAUCAGGCAUUAUCGAAAGACUGGAAUAUAGAUAUUGGUUUCGAAAUAUGAGAGCACGAAACACGAUAGGUGGUAGAAUACGCGAGAAUGGCACGAUAGAAGGGUUCUUUUUAUACGAAGAGGUGUAGGUCCGUGGUGGCUUUUAGAGUAAGUGUAUCGGCUGGAUAGUUGCAUUUAUUGAAGAGAAUUAAAUGCUUUUUUAAAUUAGA